ensembl:miRNA
GCGCGCUGGGUCGAGUGGUUCUUAACAGUUCAACAGUUCUGUAGCGCAAUUGUGAAAUGUUUAGGACCACUAGACC